UGCAGUCGAGCGGAAACGACUUAACUGAACCUUCGGGGAACGUUAAGGGCGUCGAGCGGCGGACGGGUGAGUAAUGCCUGGGAAAUUGCCCUGAUGUGGGGGAUAACCAUUGGAAACGAUGGCUAAUACCGCAUAAUAGCUUCGGCUCAAAGAGGGGGACCUUCGGGCCUCUCGCGUCAGGAUAUGCCCAGGUGGGAUUAGCUAGUUGGUGAGGUAAGGGCUCACCAAGGCGACGAUCCCUAGCUGGUCUGAGAGGAUGAUCAGCCACACUGGAACUGAGACACGGUCCAGACUCCUACGGGAGGCAGCAGUGGGGAAUAUUGCACAAUGGGCGCAAGCCUGAUGCAGCCAUGCCGCGUGUAUGAAGAAGGCCUUCGGGUUGUAAAGUACUUUCAGCAGUGAGGAAGGUGGUGCAGUUAAUAGCUGUAUCAUUUGACGUUAGCUGCAGAAGAAGCACCGGCUAACUCCGUGCCAGCAGCCGCGGUAAUACGGAGGGUGCGAGCGUUAAUCGGAAUUACUGGGCGUAAAGCGCAUGCAGGUGGUUCGUUAAGUCAGAUGUGAAAGCCCGGGGCUCAACCUCGGAAUUGCAUUUGAAACUGGCGGACUAGAGUACUGUAGAGGGGGGUAGAAUUUCAGGUGUAGCGG
rnacentral:rRNA from 1 species